AACGAACGCUGGCGGCAGGCUUAACACAUGCAAGUCGAGCGCCCCGCAAGGGGAGCGGCAGACGGGUGAGUAACGCGUGGGAAUCUACCCAUCUCUACGGAAUAACGCAUGGAAACGUGUGCUAAUACCGUAUACGUCCUUCGGGAGAAAGAUUUAUCGGAGAUGGAUGAGCCCGCGUUGGAUUAGCUAGUUGGUGGGGUAAAGGCCUACCAAGGCGACGAUCCAUAGCUGGUCUGAGAGGAUGAUCAGCCACACUGGGACAGAGACACGGACCAGACUCCUACGGGAGGCAGCAGUGGGGAAUGUUGGACAAUGGGCGCAAGCCUGAUCCAGCCAUGCCGCGUGUGUGAUGAAGGCCCUAGGGUUGUAAAGCUCUUUCACCGGUGAAGAUAUGACGGUAACCGGAGAAGAAGCCCCGGCUAACUUCGUGCCAGCCGCCGCCGUAAGAC
rnacentral:rRNA from 1 species